rnacentral:rRNA from 1 species
GACGAACGCUGGCGGCGUGCUUAACACAUGCAAGUCGAACGGAAAGGCCCCUUUGGGGGUACUCGAGUGGCGAACGGGUGCGUAACACGUGAGUAACCUGCCCUUGACUUCGGGAUAACUUCAGGAAACUGGGGCUAAUACCGGAUAGGAAUCAUUGCUGCAUGGUGGGGGUUGGAAAGCUUCAGCGGUUUUGGAUGGAUUCGCGGCCUAUCAGCUUGUUGGUGGGGUAGUGGCUUACCAAGGCUUUGACGGGUAGCCGGCCUGAGAGGGCGACCGGCCAAAUUGGGACUGAGAGACGGCCCAGACUCCUACGGGAGGCAGCAGUGGGGAAUAUUGCACAAUGGGCGGAAGCCUGAUGCAGCAACGCCGCGUGCGGGAUGACGGCCUUCGGGUUGUAAACCGCUUUCAGCAGGGGCGAAGCUUGUGGUGACGGUACCUGCAGAAGAAGCACCGGCUAACUACGUG